rnacentral:misc_RNA from 1 species
GUAGGUGAACCUGCGGAAGGAUCAUUAACGAGUUGGGGUCUUCUAGGCCCGACCUCCCAACCCUUUGUUUACAGAACCUCUGUUGCUUCGGCGGACCCGUCUCACGACCGCCGGAGGAUUGCCGCGAGGCGUCCUCUGGCCGGUGUCCGCCGAUAGCCAAAUCAAAACUCUGAAUGAAUCGUGUCUUAUGUCUAAGUCUAUGAUAAAUAAAGCAAAACUUUCAACAACGGAUCUCUUGGUUCUG